rnacentral:lncRNA from 1 species
UCGGGCCCGGAAGUUAACCUCAGCCCUCGGCGCGGCGCUCUGGCCGUAAGAACCAAUCGGAAGCGGCAUUUGAGCCGGGCUUGGGGAGGCCGAUUCUCAGUGGGCCUGAGGGGUGUUGCGUCAUUCACUUCUUAACCAAUCAGAUCACUUCUUCGACUUCGUUUCCUGCGCGCCGGGGCGUUUGUAGGCCGACGGCGGAACCUGCGCGCGCAGCUGAAAGAACAGCAGAACUGAUUUGGAGAACUCAGAGAAUUCUUCAGAUAUCCUCCAAAAAUCAGAAGGCCGGCGUCAUGAACAGUGAUGUCAUUAUCUACAAGAUGACUCUUCCAGUAAUAUGUUAUCUGACUUUCUUCACUUUGACACCUUAGUGUUGUGCUAAAUUUGAUCAUCUGGGCCAACUCAACUUUUCUAUGAUGGGAGGAAAUCUCACAAAGCAAAUUACAUAUUGGGCAUUUCUUUGUUCCAGGGUAGAUCUUUUCCAGGAUAAUACUGCAUUGGAAUCUGAAAAAAAGCAAAUGCUUCUAAACUCUGAAGCUUUUAAUAAACUCCAUGUCACCGCAACAUCAAAAUUUGCACGGACUGUGAAGACCAGGUAUUCCUUCCUGAGUGUAAUCACUCAGGUGUAGGAGACAAAAUCAAAGACAGGAUCUUUUUCCAGUGGUUUCAACAUUAUAAGCAUGUAUGCAUAUGUGUGUAAAAUAUUUUUACAUUGUGACAAAUGCCAUAAUGUACAAAGCUUAAAUGUAUAUUUCAAAGAAUAAACAUAAACCAUACAUGCA